rnacentral:misc_RNA from 1 species
GAUGAAGAACGCAGCGAAAUGCGAUAGGUAGUGUGAAUUGCAGAUGUAACGUGAAUCAUCGAAUCUUUGAACGCAAAUUGCACUCUCUGGUAUUCCGGGGAGUAUGCCUGUUUGAGGGUCGCCAAAUCAACAUCGAAAUUCAUUUGCUUUUGUAAAUGUUUAUCGGAUUUGAGCCGUCUUUUUAUUUUUUUUAAAGUGGCUUAAAAUGUAUUUUUUUGGUAUCGAAAAACGUUAUUUUACGAUCCAAUCGAUCAAAAAACAAACGUUUCGAAUGCCGUCUUUUAAUGUAAUACGUUUGACUGUGUCAUACAAUCAUGGUUUCAUUCGUAUACGAGUUUAAUUUUUGACCUCAAAUCAGGUAAGAACACCCGCUGAACUUAAGCAUAUCAAUAAGCGGAGGA